rnacentral:rRNA from 1 species
AUACGGAGGAUGCAAGCGUUAUCCGGAUUUAUUGGGUUUAAAGGGUGCGUAGGCGGUUUGCUAAGCGGGAGGUGAAAUGCCGGCGCUCAACGUCGGAAGUGCCUCCCGAACUGGUGGACUGGAAUGACUCUGCCGUGGGAGGAAUGUGUAGUGUAGCGGUGAAAUGCUUAGAGAUUACACAGAACACCGAUUGCGAAGGCAUCUCACGAAGGGUUGAUUGACGCUGAGGCACGAAAGCGUGGGGAUCAAACAGGAUUAGAUACCCUGGUAGUCCACGCAGUAAACGAUGAUGGCUAACCGCUGGUUUAUUCGGAUCAGUGGCCAAGCGAAAGCGAUAAGCCAUCCACCUGGGGAGUACGACCGCAAGGUUGAAACUCAAAGGAAUUGACUGGG